rnacentral:rRNA from 1 species
AUUGAACGCUGGCGGCAGGCUUAACACAUGCAAGUCGAGCGCGCGGCGGACGGGUGAGUAAUGUCUGGGAAACUGCCUGAUGGAGGGGGAUAACUACUGGAAACGGUAGCUAAUACCGCAUACCAUCAGAUGUGCCCAGAUGGGAUUAGCUAGUAGGUGGGGUAAUGGCUAACCUAGGCGACGAUCGCUAGCUGGUCUGAGAGGAUGACCAGACACACUGUAACGGAUGCACGGUCCAGACUCCGACGGCAGGCAGCAGUGGGGAAGAUUGCACAAUGGGCGAAAGCCUGAUGCAGCCAUGCCGCGUGUGUGAAGAAGGCCUUCGGGUUGUAAAGCACUUUCAGCGAGGAGGCGUUACUCGCAGAAGAAGCACCGGCUAACUCCGUGCCAGCAGCCGCGGUAAUUC